CUCGCGUAGUUAGGAGCAGCACCGCCGUCAACAUGCCCGUGCGAGGAAGAAAUAAGUCCAGCUGCUCGCUUCGGAACUCGCUUGGAAAAGCGCCUACAACUGGCAGGACCUCCGAGUAUCAAGCUGUCUGCCCUUAUGCCUGUAAACAAUGUCUGUAAUAUUAAUGUGUAACAUUUAAAAAAUGUAUGUUUUUAUUUUAUUUUUCAAACAUUUAAAAUAAAUACAGUAUAUCAGUC